rnacentral:rRNA from 1 species
UACGAAGGGUGCAAACGUUGCUCGGAAUUACUGGGCGUAAAGCGUGCGCAGGCGGUUCUAUAAGACAGAUGUGAAAUCCCCGGGCUCAACCUGGGAACUGCAUUUGUGACUGUAGAGCUGGAGUACGGCAGAGGGGGAUGGAAUUCCGCGUGUAGCAGUGAAAUGCGUAGAUAUGCGGAGGAACACCGAUGGCGAAGGCAAUCCCCUGGGCCUGUACUGACGCUCAUGCACGAAAGCGUGGGGAGCAAACAGG